UUCCUCAUAUGCAUUGGAGUCAGAUAUGAUUUCUCUUUGUGCUAGUUCAGCUUUUCUAGACUAGUGUCGAUGUCAGAUCUUUGUUUUCCUCAUAGUCAUUUUGACUUAGAAACCUGCACAAUUAAGAAAAAUAUUAGGGGUACAAAAUUGUUUCAUUCUUUGUUACCAUCAAAGCUUAGAGAUAUAUUGAAGAAUUAAAAUCUUGUUCUAACAAUCUCCCUUUUUUUAUGAUGUCAAAAACUCAUACUUUUGAUGAAACGAUACUACUUUUCAAAGAUACAAAUUUAAAUGAAUCAGAGUCGGAUAGAGAAUGACUCCCCUUGAGAUUAGAAAUCUCCCCCGGAGUCUGAUACUUAGAAACGGGUUUCUAGGUAGAGAAUUUAUUACCAGACCUUCUUAGGUUUCUUGUCUUAUUUUAUUUGUUUCUCAGAUACAGAUUCAUUUUUCCUUUGUUUAGAUUGAUCCUGUAAAAAGGAAUAGACUACACAAUAAUUUUAAUGUUAGAGUGUAAGCAGUGCAUUUCUGAGAGUUAGAUACGUUAUUUCAUCAAAAAGACUUUUAUUUAUUUCUCCCCCUUUUUAUCAGACUCAAAAAGUUAAUGAAAUGACAAGUAAUAAAUUCAUAGAAGGAACAAAAUUUCAUUGAUAAGAAAGAGAGAUGCAAUGCAGAAAGAAAUAGAAGAAAAGGCCUCAGAGGCAAAAACUCUUAGAAAAAAAACAAAGAAAAAAUUUCCUAGAAUGCAUAAGGGUUUGGAGGAAGAGGCAUCCUCUAAGUAGUUGAGCAAGCAGAUUCUAGAUGCUGGAGUUGACUUGAUACUGUUGGUCGAUUUUGGCUCUGACCAGUUGUUGUUCUUUCUGUAGCUCUUCCAGAGUCUUGAGGAAUAGAGGAGCUAGGUCAAAUUUAGAUGAUUCACCUCGAGUCAGAGCAGCCUCAGUUGUAUUCUCAACAUCUUCUGUAGCUUUUUGAGCAGCUUCAACGGCCAAUGCUUCAACUUCAUUUUUUUUCCCUAGUUGCAGCCUCUGCAGCAGCUUUCUCAGUUGUCUCCUUGGUGUCAUACCCAAAUUUGUUUGGGUAGUUUAAAACUUUCAUUAUCUUUUUAGCCCGAAAGCAUGAUGCACAGAUUUAGGGCUUGUGGAUCUUACUAGGAGGAGGAAAUUAGAGUUUCCUUGUUAUUACCCUAACCCAGGUUCAACAAAGCUCCAUAAACCCUAAUUAGGUGUAACAUUCAUGGUGUGGCCUCUUAACCUUAAUUUCAUCUACCUUUUUCAUCAUUCAUGGUGCUUGACUUCAUCUACUUGGUCAAAAUUUCAUUCAAUGUUCGUUUGUUCUUAACCCUUGGUUAUUAUGGUCCCCGUGUUUGUAAAGUUUGGACUCAUAAUGCUAAAAUAAAUAUCACAUGAUCCACAGUGCAUCUGGGGAUCCAAAUUACAGACGAGAUUAGGUUCAUUAAACCAUAUUUUCUUUCAUUUUAACAAAUAUCCUAUUUCCAUUUUUCAACAAAAUUAUGUAUCUCCAUUUUAAUUCUUUUGACAGGUUUCCUUUAUUUUUAUCUCAAUUUUCAUUUAUGUCUCAUCUUAAAAGAAUAAUACAUUUUCAUUUGAACUAGUAAAUUCAUUUUUUUUUCUUUUUCUUCUUUAACAGCCACUUCUAUCCUCCAUUUUUUUACAUUAUUUCUUUUGUCUAAAUGCCUAACUUCCAUUAUAAACAACAUUUCUCUUAUGUAAAUAUUGCUUUUAUAAUAAACUUGCACUUAGGAUAGAAGGUUUUAAACUUUUCAUCAUUAGAUUUUUUUCAUUUAACUGUUUAUAUCAGUAGAAGGCAUGGCCCACAACAAAAGACACAAAAAGUACCCUAGUAACCACCAAUAGAAUACAUCCGUGAAGAGAGGAGGAAAAGUUACAAUGCAGAAAAGGACAAAAAUACAAAAAAUGUUGAUGAAGGAUCUUGAACGAUUUCUCACGCACCACAUCCCCAAUUCCUCACCCACUUGCACAAAAUCAGGAAUGAAGUGCCGCCUUCUAUUCCUGAUUUUGUGCAAGUGGGUGAGGAAUUGGGGAUGUGGGAGAGGAAUUGGGCUUGAAGAUUUUUAGCUAACUGGUGACCUUUUGUGAAACUUUUUAGCAUAUUAUCGACGCUCUAGAUCCUCAUUUCAUUUAUGCGUUUUGCUGUAAUAAAGUUUCUGUAGUACUUAAGGUCUUGCUUGCUCAGAUUUUCCGUGUGAAAUUCUGAGAGGAAGUGUUGAAUUAAGCUUUCAAUGGAAGUAUACAGAUGAAUUCCAGCAACAUAACCUUAUCCUCUCCAUUUUGUAUACUUCCACUGAAAGCUUAAUCCAAAACUUCCUCUCAGAAUUUCACACGGAAAAUCUGAGCAAGCAAGAGCUUAAGUACUACAGAAACUUUAUUACAGCAAAACGCAUAAAUGAAAGGAGGACCUGAAGCGUCGAUACUAUGCUAAAAAGUUUCACAAAAGGUCACCAGUUAGUUAAAAAGCUUCAAGCCCAAAAAAGUUCAGAUCUUCUUGUCCUUACAAAUGGAUUGAUUUUAGGUGAACAAAAACAUAGAAGAGGUUAGGAUAAGGAACUUAAGGUAGAUCAACCAAAAUGAACGGAAAUAUACCUUAGGUAAUCACUUCCGCCGGAGUUUUGCAAGAUUCAUGAGGCUCCGGCGUGACCCUUUUUGCCGUUGCUUUAAAUUUUGUUUUCUCUUCUUUUAUUCAUCGAAAACUCCUUCAUUUGUUGUAUGUUUGCUAUAACCUGAUGAUUAUUGAUAUCCACCCAUGUUAGGUUUAGAUCUGUGAGAAGUUGGAGUUUUUUUUCCAAGUCUGAUAAGGCAUUUUAGAUUCUGAACUUCUAUUCAAACUUGUUGGUUUUGAUUGAUUGUUAAUUUGUAGUUUUUUUUGGUUUUCAAUUAAUGAACCCCAACCGGUGUUCAUCGAGCUUUCUGGUGAAAACGUUGUUAGAUCCGUAAUUUUGGUUGUUGGCGUGGGUUUUUAUGGUCAUGGUUCGGAUUAAAGAUGGAGAGAAAACAAAUAGAGAAAAUAAUUCAUGAGUAUAGAGGGUUUGUUCUGUGAUAGAAAUAAGGGAAUAUAAUUAAUAGUUUAUUUAUAUAUUUUUAUUUUUUUAAAAAAAGUUGCAUUCAUUUCUAUUAAAGACGUUUGCUUUUAAAUUCAAUGAGGAAAAGAUAUUUGGAAUCUGAAAAGCUAAGUCUAUGAAACAACCAUUAAUGGGCCUCAUUAGAUUCACGGUACCUACAUUGGCG
rnacentral:lncRNA from 1 species